CCUACGGGAGGCAGCAGUCGAGAAUAUUGGGCAAUGGGCGAAAGCCUGAUGGAGCAACGCCGCGUGCAGGAUGAAGGCCUUCGGGUUGUAAACUGCUUUUGUUUGUGAAGAUUAUGACGGUAACAGACGAAUAAGGUCUGCUAACUACGUG
rnacentral:rRNA from 1 species